UACGAAGGGGGCUAGCGUUGCUCGGAAUCACUGGGCGUAAAGGGUGCGUAGGCGGGUCUUUUAAGUCAGGGGGUGAAAUCCUGGAGCUCAACUCCAGAACUGCCUUUGAUACUGAAGAUCUUGAGUUCGGGAGAGGUGGAGUGGAAACUUGCGAGUGUAGAGGUGAAAAUUCGUAGAUAUUCGCAAGAACACCAAGUGGCGAAGG
rnacentral:rRNA from 1 species